rnacentral:rRNA from 1 species
CCUAGCGGCGAUAGCGCGGUGGUCCCACCUGACCCAAUGCCGAACUCAGAAGUAAAACGCCGUAGCGCCGAUGGUAGUGUGGGGCUUCCUCAUGUGAGAGUAGGGAACUGACAGGC